CCGCACUCAUCCCGGGUCUGCUCCCUGCGGUCCCGUGAGGCUGGCUCCCAGGAGACCCUUGUCAAACCGCGAGCCGUGUCGUGGUCAAGUGCAUGGAUGGCUGGGUCCGAACCACAGUUCUGCCUCACGUGGACUAUCCGAGGAGGAGAGGCUGGGAGCGCGGCUGGCCCGCCACGGACGGGAGGUACUGGUGGAAACGAACCAGGUUCUUCUCCAGUCGCGGAAAUGGCAGUGGAAAGGACCCGAUCAGCUAGGGCUCCUAGGUCACGGUCAGGAACCUACGAUUUUGUCCUAGGUGCUGGGGGCCUGGUGGGGGGCGGGAAAGGUAAGUGACGUCCCCUGGUUUAUAUCCGUGACCUGCCUCGGACAUGAACCUGCGGCGCUCUGUGUCUAAGCACGAAAACUCAAGGGCUUCCCAUGUCUUCAUCUAGAACAUGAGAAGAGAGUAUACCCAGACAUCUUUUGGAAGAUUUAUUGAUUUAUUUAUUUUACAGAGAGAGAGAGAGAGGGUACAUCUAAGCAGGGGAGGGGCCGAGGGAGAGAAUCUUCAAGGAGAGUCCCUGUUGAGUGUGGAGCCCGACGUGGGGCUGGGUUCCAUGACCCUGAGAUCAUGACCCACGCUGAAACCAAGAGCUGGGCACUCAACCGACGGAGCCACCCGGGCGUCCAGCCAGAUUUUUCUUAAUAUGCCUCACUUCCACAUCCUUGCCUCUUCUAUGGCUUCCUGGAGACCUCAGCAAACAAGGCCUGGACAAUCCUGAGGGCCCGGAGCAGAGGGAGACAGGGGUGGGAAGGAGCCCCUCCACCGAAGGCCCUUCCAGGAUGCUGGUCUUUCUCACUUUCCCAGGAAUGACACAGAACAUCCCUCCCUGCUCUUCCCGCCUCCUGGAUGGUCGACAGAAACCCCCUGAUGUCAGAAACCAUCUUUUGCCCAGAAGAGCCUCCCGAUUCCUCUCGAGAACCUGAUUCAUGCACAUCCUAGCAGGUUCCACUCAACACCUCCUGUUCCUACUUACUCCUGUCCACAGUGAUUUCUCUCUUCCCUGAAGUUCCAUAAGCCUCAGAGUGUCUAGUACCCAGCUGAGUAAAUGGCUUGCUCAUUGA